rnacentral:rRNA from 1 species
AGGGAAUCUUCGGCAAUGGACGCAAGUCUGACCGAGCAACGCCGCGUGAGUGAUGACGGUCUUCGGAUUGUAAAGCUCUGUCUUUUGGGACGAUAAUGACGGUACCAAAGGAGGAAGCCACGGCUAACUACGUGCCAGCAGCCGCGGUAAUACGUAGGUGGCAAGCGUUGUCCGGAUUUACUGGGCGUAAAGGAUGUGUAGGCGGAUACUUAAGUGAGAUGUGAAAGCCCCGGGCUCAACCUGGGGACUGCAUUUCAAACUGGGUAUCUAGAGUGCAGGAGAGGAAAGCGGAAUUCCUAGUGUAGCGGUGAAAUGCGUAGAGAUUAGGAAGAACAUCAGUGGCGAAGGCGGCUUUCUGACUGUAACUGACGCUGAGGCAUGAAAGCGUGGGGAGCAAAC